AACGAACGCUGGCGGCGCGCCUAAUACAUGCAAGUCGAGCGAGAAGACGUAGCAAUACGUUUGUAAAGCGGCGAACGGGUGAGGAAUACAUGGGUAACCUACCCUCGAGUGGGGAAUAACUAGCCGAAAGGUUAGCUAAUACCGCGUACGCUCCUCGGACUUCGGUUCAGGGAGGAAAGCGAUACCGUGGGUAUCGCGCUCUUGGGUGGGCUCAUGUCCUAUCAGCUUGUUGGUGAGGAACGGCUCACCAAGGCUUCGACGGGUAGCUGGUCUGAGAGGACGAUCAGCCACACUGGCACUGCGACACGGGCCAGACUCCUACGGGAGGCAGCAGUAAGGAAUAUUGCGCAAUGGGCGAAAGCCUGACGCAGCGACGCCGCGUGGGGGGAUGAAGGGUCUUCGGAUUGUAAACCCCUUUCGGGAGGGGAAGAUGGAACGAGCAAUCGUUCGGACGGUACCUCCAGAAGCAGCCACGGCUAACUUCGUGCCAGCAGCCG
rnacentral:rRNA from 1 species